UGGGGAAUCUUGGACAAUGGGGGCAACCCUGAUCCAGCCAUGCCGCGUGAGUGAUGAAGGCCUUAGGGUCGUAAAGCUCUUUCGCCUGUGAAGAUAAUGACGGUAGCAGGUAAAGAAACCCCGGCUAACUCCGUGCCAGCAGCCGCGGUAAUACGGAGGGGGUUAGCGUUGUUCGGAAUUACUGGGCGUAAAGCGCACGUAGGCGGACCAGAAAGUUGGGGGUGAAAUCCCGGGGGCUCAACCCCGGAACUGCCUCCAAAACUAUUGGUCUAGAGUUCGAGAGAGGUGAGUGGAAUUCCAAGUGUAGAGGUGAAAUUCGUAGAUAUUUGGAGGAACACCAGUGGCGAAGGCGGCUCACUGGCUCGAUACUGACGCUGAGGUGCGAAAGUGUGGGGAGCAAACAGGAUUAGAUACCCUGGUAGUCCACACCGUAAAACGUUGGGCACUAGGUGUGGGUCUCAACCAACGAGAUCCGCGCCGUCGCUAACGCAUUAAGUGCCCC
rnacentral:rRNA from 1 species